rnacentral:lncRNA from 1 species
UUUUUUGAAAAAAUGUGCAAACAGCUGUAUGUGUUAUGUGUUAAACAAAGAAGACUUAAUAACACAGACAGCAUCUCAUCAUCCCUUUUCUCAACUCAAUCAAAACAUUCAAAACAACAACAACAAUAACGAACAAACGAAGAAUCUUUACCCUUUUUUUGUUUCUUAACUUUCACUUUCGAAGAGUACAACGUUGUUAUAACAUAAACCGUGUCUUCAGCUUCUGUCAUAACUCUUUGUACCUGAAAUCAACUACAAAAUCACAAAAAUAACAGUUUUUUCAGUGAAACUCCUGAUUUGUUUUGGUGGGUCAGUUUCAAGUUUUUAUUUUGUUCAAGUUUCUCUGAUCGAUUUAGAAGAAAGAGAAUUUAUAGAGAGAAAGAGAUAGUGGAAGCUGAUUGAUUGGUGGGAAGGUUAUGGCUUUUUGCCCACUUUUUUGUUGUGGAAUUGCUUCGGAUCGGUAUGAAAAUGCUUCAUUUCUCUUUAAUUUUGAAUGAUUUCUUUGUAGUAUGUUAUGUUUAGUUGAGAAUCAUAAUUGUUGUUUUGGAUCGUGU